UUAGUUUGGUGCAAAAGUAAUUGCAGUUUUUGCCAUUACUUUUAAUAGUAAAAAUUGCAGUUACUUUUUCACUAACUAAUAU
rnacentral:miRNA from 10 species